AGUGAACGCUGGCGGUAGGCCUAACACAUGCAAGUCGAACGGCAGCACAGUAAGGGCUUGCUCUUACGGGUGGCGAGUGGCGGACGGGUGAGGAAUACAUCGGAAUCUACUUUUUCGUGGGGGAUAACGUAGGGAAACUUACGCUAAUACCGCAUACGACCUACGGGUGAAAGCAGGGGAUCUUCGGACCUUGCGCGAUUGAAUGAGCCGAUGUCGGAUUAGCUAGUUGGCGGGGUAAAGGCCCACCAAGGCGACGAUCCGUAGCUGGUCUGAGAGGAUGAUCAGCCACACUGGAACUGAGACACGGUCCAGACUCCUACGGGAGGCAGCAGUGGGGAAUAUUGGACAAUGGGCGCAAGCCUGAUCCAGCCAUACCGCGUGGGUGAAGAAGGCCUUCGGGUUGUAAAGCCCUUUUGUUGGGAAAGAAAAGCAGCAGGUUAAUACCCCGCUGUUCUGACGGUACCCAAUGAAGAAGCACCGGCUAACUUCGUG
rnacentral:rRNA from 1 species